UAUCAAAACUCUAACUCAAAUGUAUCUCUCUCUCAUACCCACCCCCCUUCACCCGCCUCUCUCUCUUUCCCUCAUCUCUUCUCCCCUCGCACCGCUUUCCUCUUCUUCUCCUCCGAACGGAUCACCGGUGAGCAGCAGCCCCGACGACUCCUCUCUCUCCCUGUCGUCUUUCUCUUCUCCUCUUCCCUCGACCCCUCUCUCUUUCCCCCUCCUCUCUUCUUUCUUCCUCUAUCCCCCUCCCGUCUCUUCUCCACAGCAAACUCCGGCGAGGAUCAACAGCCAACCAUCGGCGAGCAUCCGGCAGCAGCAGCAGCAACCACAACUUUGGCAGAACCCCAGGCGGCCAGCAGCUCCAACCAACGACAGCAAGCCAGCAGCUCGGCUAGAGGGCGAUAGCAACAAUACCAACUGCUCAAUGAUGUUCAUAAGUUAUCAACAGCAACUGAGGAAGCUCAACAUAUAAAAAAGUUGAUACAACAUUAUAUUGCUUCUUUCAUCAAAGUUGGAGAUAAGGAAAUAUUCUUCCUCCAUGUCCCGCAAGUAGUGAUGAUGGAGCUGAUCAGGAGGAUGAUGAGAAUGAUAAGGGUGAUAAGGAGAGUGACGGUGAUAACGAGUAGUUGUAUUGGUUUGAUAUUUUAGACUUCUACAUUUUUGGAAUUGUUUGAUCGUAUUUUAAUUUAAUUUGAAGUUGGAUGAAGUUUAUUUUAAAUAGUUCAAUGUUUAUUUUGAAAA